rnacentral:rRNA from 1 species
UACGUAUGGUGCAAGCGUUAUCCGGAUUUAUUGGGUUUAAAGGGUGCGUAGGCGGACUGUCAAGUCAGCGGUAAAAUUGAGAGGCUCAACCUCUUCCCGCCGUUGAAACUGGUGGUCUUGAGUGGAUGAGAAGUACGCGGAAUGCGUGGUGUAGCGGUGAAAUGCAUAGAUAUCACGCAGAACUCCGAUUGCGAAGGCAGCGUACCGGCAUCCAACUGACGCUGAGGCACGAAAGCGUGGGGAUCAAACAGG